rnacentral:rRNA from 1 species
AAUUUAUAAAUUUAUUAAAAAUUUUAGUUUAUUUUUUUUUAAUAAAAGUAGUUUUUAUUUAGUAUUUUAGAAAAAUUUUUAUUUAUGAUAAAGAAUAGUAUUGUAAAAGAAAAUUUUAAAUUAUUUUUAAGAAAAUUUUAUUUAUUGUACCUUGUGUAUCAGGGUUGAUUAAUUUUAUUAAAAAUUUAUUUUUCUCGAAUUUUAAAGAGUUAAAUUUUUAUUUAUUUUAAUGUUUUAUAAUUAUUUAAAAUAAAAAUUUAGUAAUGAAAUGUUAAUCGUUUUAAAAAAUAUCUAGUUUUUUAAUAAAUGUAUUUAAUACAAUAAUUUUUUAUUAUAUGAAAAUUUAUAUUUUUAUAUUUUAUUAAUUUUUUAUUAUUUUUGGGUUAAGCUAGAAAUAAAAUUAUUAAAAAUAAUUUUUUUAUUUAAAUUUAUAGAAUUAGAAAUUUUUAUUUUUAAAAUUAUGUUAUAAUUUAUUUAAAUAUUUUAAUAUUUAAUUAUUUUUAAAUUUUUUAUUAGAAUAAAUUAUUUAAUUUAAAAAUUUUUUAAAUUAUGAUUAAAUUAGUAUAUAUUUUUAAUUUAUAAAUUUUAUAAAAAAAUAUUUUUAAGGAAUUAGGCAAUUAUAAUUUUCACUUGUUUAUUAAAAACAUCUCUUUUUGAAAAAAAUUUAAAGUCGGAUCUGCUCAAUGAAUUUUAAAUAGCUGCAGUAUUUUGACUGUACAAAGGUAGCAUAAUAAUUAGUUCUUUAAUUGAGAGCUGGUAUGAAUGAUUUGAUGAAAAAUUAUCUGUCUUAAAUUUAUUAAUAGAAUUUUAUUUUUUAGUAAGAAAGCUUAAAUAUUUUUAAAAGACGAGAAGACCCUAUAGAGUUUUAUAUUUAAUUAUUUAUAAAAUAAAAAGAUUAAAAAUUAUUAGAUAAGAAUAUUUAAUUGGGGUGAUUUUAAAAUUUAAUAAACUUUUAAAAAUUUUUACAUUUAUGUAUGAAUAGGUGAUCCUUUAGGAUUAAAAGAUUAAAUUACCUUAGGGAUAACAGCGUAAUUUUUUUGGAAAGUUCAUAUUUAUAGAAAAGAUUGCGACCUCGAUGUUGGAUUAAAAUAAAUUUUAGGUGUAGAAGCUUAAAAAUUUAGUCUGUUCGACUAUUAAAAUUUUACAUGAUCUGAGUUUAAACCGGUGUGAGCCAGGUUGGUUUCUAUCUUUAAAGAGUAGAAAUUUUUUAGUACGAAAGGACCAAUAAUUUAAAAUAUUUUUUUAGCUGGAAUAAUAUUA